UACGGAGGGGGCAAGCGUUAUUCAUUUUAAGUGGGCGUAAAGGGUACGUAGGUGAUGAAAAACAAUUUUAAAAAAAGGUCAGGCCAAUCACUUGAAAAAUUUAAAAUUGCUGAUAAAUUGCGAGGUAUUGGAGGUUGGCGGAAUUACUAAUGUAAAGGUAAAAUCUAACGAUAUUAGUACGUACACCAGAGGCGCAAGCAGCUUUCUCAAAUAUCUAACAUUGAGGUACUAAAGCAUGGGAAUCGAACAGG
rnacentral:rRNA from 1 species